AUAAUUGAAAUACUUCCGACAGAAUGCCAACCUAUUUUGAGACAAACGUCGGAAAAUGUGUGCAGUUUUCUGGAGCAUGAUUGGGGAACGGUGUCAGAUUUUCCGCACGAUAAUCAAUUAUUAGACUGGGUGAAUGGAAGUAGUAGCAGUAUUGUUGGGAGGAGUGCUCGAAAAAGUAAACAUGCGCCGAAAGGGGAGGCGAAAAAAGGAGGCGGCGGUGGAAAGAAAAAGGAGGGAAAAUCCACCCCAGCCGUAACCUCAGAUAAGGACAAACUCAAAAAGAAAUAUCCCAACAUGCCAGCCUGGCUCAGGAGGGAAAUUGAUUCCGAACCCACAAGUAAAGAACCGGAAAGCGAGGACAAAUCCAGCAGUGCAAACAUGACGCAGGAAGAAAUGUGUAUGAUUAUGACAAAAUAAUUUGCAUGUUGACGCAAAAUUUGCAAGUAUUUUGAUAACCAUUUUUUUAGUACGCCGAUUUGAUAACGAAUGGAACAACGUGGAUCAGUUCAGCCAUCCCCAGAUGACAGAUUCGAAUCAAAUCAUUACCGAAGAAAUUUGGCAGUAUGAACGCACCGUGAUUAAGAACAAUUUAAAAAUCGUGUCCCCUCAGGAUUCCUAUGCGAAGAAGACGCAUCCGACGGAAGCCAUGAUUUCGAAACUGAUUCUCCUCUCGAAAUCAAUUAUGCGUCAGAUUUGCCCCAUGGAAAAUUCUGGUUUGUUAGAUCUCACUGUUAGCGUGUUUUUAAGCCUGCAAUCCAAAAUAUUUGACUGGAAUGACUCUACCUUUACGCACUUGGAUUUCAAAAGAAUCGAGGCAUCCUUGACGCGAUGUUUGGAACAUGGUAACACAUCUCUUCAUAUUUAAAAGUAAUAAAUAUUUCAGUUAAAGACUUAAUUAUUGAUUCUGCAGCCACACCAAUCCCAGCCAUCGUGGAGCACAAUAAAUGCCAGCAGAAUGACAACGUCCAUAUUCCACGAGCCCUUCGGUCCGAUGGUUUUGAUCCUGUUAUCGAAUCCGUUUGGAAGAUUUUUGUAUCCGUGCAUUCCUACUGUUACAAAACGUUUGACAAGUUUUACAGCGAUCAUCACAAGUACACGACGAUUAUCAUACCAUUGUUUGGAAAGCAGCUUCGUCCAUUCUGGCUAAAGCCAAAAAAUGCCGUAGAGGUGGAUGAAGCUCAUCAACCGUAUGCUGGACUUUUAGGCAACGUGGGACAAGUAAUGGCUCACUUUGACCGAUGUACGUAUGCUGCCAGGACUUUAUCCAAAUUCCCCUUUCAUCUCACGAGACCGAUUGGUUCCGGCGAUGCGGAGGAAGCUAAUGAGAUAAUUGAAAAUACCACGACCCUCGACCCUGACUCCACCACAGAAACGAAGCGGCGAAGGAAACGAGAAGUCUUAAAUGAAGAAGGGUGGAAGAAACAACGCCGAAUUUUGGAGGGUCUUGGGUAUUGUCUUAAAAAGUACAAUGAACCAAAAGAACGAUUACACCAACAGUGUAGCAGCAUUUAACACAUUUCAUAAUUAUUUCUUAUUUCGUGUUGCAAAGAAUAUUAAAACA